rnacentral:misc_RNA from 1 species
CCGAGUUAUACAACUCAUCAACCCUGUGAACAUACCUAUAACGUUGCCUCGGCGGGAACAGACGGCCCCGUAACACGGGCCGCCCCCGCCAGAGGACCCCCUAACUCUGUUUCUAUAACGUCUCUUCUGAGUAAACAAGCAAAUAAAUUA